rnacentral:rRNA from 1 species
AUAUCAUUAAGCGGAGGAAAAGAAACUAACAAGGAUGCCCUCAGUAACGGCGAGUGAAGCGGGCAAAGCUCAAACUGAAAAUCGGUGCUCCAUGCGGGGCUUCGAAUUGUAGUCUAUAGACGCGCCAUCAGCGAUGAACCGGGUAUAAAUCUUUUGAAACAAGGUGUCAUAGAGGGUGAGAACCCCGUCUUUGACUCGGAGCUCAUUGCGUACGAUGCGUGUUCAAAGAGUCGAGUUGCUUGGGAUUGCAGCUCUAAGCGGGUGGUAAAUUUCAUCUAAAGCUAAAUAUUGACGAGAGACCGAUAGCGAACAAGUACCGUGAGGGAAAGAUGAAAAGAACUUUGAAAAGAGAGUUAAAAAGUACUUGAAAUUGUUAAGAGGGAAGCACUGGAAACCAGUAUUGCUGGUUGCUGUACUCGCUCUUCCGCGGGCUAGAGGCAGCGUGCCGGGAGUUUAAACCUCGGUUGCGUUGCUGAAGGCUCGUGGGUGGGUUUAGCAGUGAUUGGUGGGUCAAAAUCAAUUUGGCUCGCGGGAGAAAGCUAUCUGGAAGAUAGGGUCGAAGGGCAACCUAAGACCUGUUAUAGACAGGUAGUGCUACCGUGGGCUGGAUUGA